rnacentral:rRNA from 1 species
GUGGCGAACUGGUGAGUAACACGUGGGAAAUCUGCCCAGAAGCAGGGGAUAACACUUGGAAACAGGUGCUAAUACCGUAUAACAACAAAAUCCGCAUGGAUUUUGUUUGAAAGGUGGCUUCGGCUAUCACUUCUGGAUGAUCCCGCGGCGUAUUAGUUAGUUGGUGAGGUAAAGGCCCACCAAGACGAUGAUACGUAGCCGACCUGAGAGGGUAAUCGGCCACAUUGGGACUGAGACACGGCCCAAACUCCUACGGGAGGCAGCAGUAGGGAAUCUUCCACAAUGGACGAAAGUCUGAUGGAGCAAUGCCGCGUGAGUGAAGAAGGGUUUCGGCUCGUAAAACUCUGUUGUUAAAGAAGAACACCUUUGAGAGUAACUGUUCAAGGGUUGACGGUAUUUAACCAGAAAGCCACGGCUAACUACGUGCCAGCAGCCGCGGUAAUACGUAGGUGGCAAGCGUUGUCCGGAUUUAUUGGGCGUAAAGCGAGCGCAGGCGGUUUUUUAAGUCUGAUGUGAAAGCCUUCGGCUUAACCGGAGAAGUGCAUCGGAAACUGGGAGACUUGAGUGCAGAAGAGGACAGUGGAACUCCAUGUGUAGCGGUGGAAUGCGUAGAUAUAUGGAAGAACACCAGUGGCGAAGGCGGCUGUCUAGUCUGUAACUGACGCUGAGGCUCGAAAGCAUGGGUAGCGAACAGGAUUAGAUACCCUGGUAGUCCAUGCCGUAAACGAUGAGUGCUAAGUGUUGGAGGGUUUCCGCCCUUCAGUGCUGCAGCUAACGCAUUAAGCACUCCGCCUGGGG